GGAGAGUUUGAUUCUGGCUCAGAGCGAACGCUGGCGGCGUGGAUAAGACAUGCAAGUCGAACGAAGCUUGUUCCUUGGCAACAAGGAACAAGUUCAGUGGCGAACGGGUGAGUAACACGUGGGAACUUACCCUGAAGUGGGGAAUAGCCCAUCGAAAGAUGGGGUAAUUCCGCAUGUGAUCGAAAGAUCAAAGUAGGGGACCUGCAAAGGCCUUACGCUUCAGGAGAGGCCCGCGGCCCAUCAGCUAGUUGGUGAGGUAAUGGCCCACCAAGGCUAAGACGGGUAGCUGGCCUGAGAGGGUGGUCAGCCACACUGGGACUGAGACACGGCCCAGACACCUACGGGUGGCAGCAGUCGAGAAUUUUUCACAAUGGGCGAAAGCCUGAUGGAGCGACGCCGCGUGGAGGAUGAAGGCCUUCGGGUUGUAAACUCCUGUCACCCUGGACCAAGGCUUUCAAGUUGAAUAAACUUGGAAGUUUGAUUGUACAGGGAGAGGAAGGGACGGCAAACUCUGUGCCAGCAGCCGCGGUAAUACAGAGGUCCCAAGCGUUGCUCGGAUUUACUGGGCGUAAAGGGUGUGUAGGAGGUUAGAUAAGUCGGAUGUGAAAUCCCUUUGCUUAACAAAGGAACUGCAUUCGAUACUGUCUAGCUAGAGGACCGGAGGGGGAAGCGGAACUCUCGGUGUAGCGGUGAAAUGCGUGGAUAUCGAGAGGAACACCGGUGGCGAAGGCGGCUUCCUGGACGGUACCUGACUCUGAUACACGAAAGCUAGGGGAGCGAACGGGAUUAGAUACCCCGGUAGUCCUAGCCGUAAACGGUGUGCGUUAGGCGUUGGCGGAAUCGACCCCGCCAGUGCCGUAGCUAACGCGUUAAACGCACCGCCUGAGGAGUACGGCCGCAAGGCUAAAAACUCAAAGAAAUUGACGGGGGCCCGCACAAGCGGUGGAGCAUGUGGCUUAAUUCGAUGCAACGCGAAGAACCUUACCAGGCCUUGACAUGCCGUGUUCAGUUGCUGAAAGGCAAUGGCCCGCAAGGGCGAACGGCACAGGUGCUGCAUGGCUGUCGUCAGCUCGUGUCGUGAGAUGUUGGGUUAAGUCCCGCAACGAGCGCAACCCCUAUGUCCAGUUGCCGAAAGGCUCUCUGAACAGACUGCCUCGUAUAACGGGGAGGAAGGUGGGGACGACGUCAAGUCAGGAUGGCCCUUAUGGCCUGGGCUGCACACGUGUUACAAUGCCCGGUACAGAGGGAAGCAAGACCGCGAGGUGGAGCAAAUCCCAAAAACCGGGCCCAGUUCAGAUCGAAGGCUGCAACUCGCCUUCGUGAAGCCGGAAUCGCUAGUAAUGGCGCAUCAGCUACGGCGCCGUGAAUACGUUCCCGGGCCUUGUACACACCGCCCGUCACAUCCUGAAAGCUGGUUGUACCCGAAGCCAACCGUAAGGUUGUCGAAGGUAUGGCUAGUGAUUGGGAUGAAGUCGUAACAAGGUAGCCGUAGGGGAACCUGCGGCUGGAUCACCUCCUUUCU
rnacentral:rRNA from 1 species